ACUCAAAGGAAUUGACGGGGGCCCGCACAAGCGGUGGAGCAUGUUGGUUAAUUGGAUGAUACGCCAAGAACCUUACCAGGGCUUGAAAUGGUAGGGACAGCUGGUGAAAGCCAGUUUCCUGGGCAACCAGGUCCUAUCACAGGUGGUGCAUGGUUGUCGUCAGCUCGUGUCGUGAGAUGUUGGGUUAAGUCCCGCAACGAGCGCAACCCUCGCCGGAUGUUGCCAUCGGUCAGGCCGGGAACUCUUCCGGGACUGCCCGAGUAAUCGGGAGGAGGGAGGGGAUGACGUCAAAUCGGCAUGCCCCUUACGCCCUGGGCUGCAAACGUGCUACAAUGGCCGGUACAAAGGGUUGCUAAGCCGCGAGGUGGAGCCAAUCCCCCAAAACCGGUCCCAGUUCGGAUUGGGUGUCUGCAACUCGACCCCAUGAAGUCGGAAUCGCUAGUAACCGUGGAUCAGCAACGCCACGGUGAAUACGUUCCCGGGCCUUGUACACACCGCCCGU
rnacentral:rRNA from 1 species